GGAGAGUGAUGCCUCUUCGCCACAGCAUUUCAAAAUAGAUAUUACAGCAAAGACCCAGAGGAUCACUUGUCCAGCCUCUCACUGAUAGUAGGAGUGGAGCUGGGAUGCAAUCCCAGGGUCACUGGACGCAAGUCCAUUUCAACCAUCACCUUAGCCCAGAACCAUGACAAAGGAAAUUCAUAAGGAGGUAUUGCUACGUGGUGAUCGCUGUACCUCUUUGAUGGUGGAGACCAAGUCUAGUUGGAAAUGGAAGAAGAGAAACAGAGGAUAUACAGGAUUCCCCCACCACCUCUUUCCUUCUUCGUGUGUGAGG